ensembl:lncRNA
ACAUCCUAGAGACGACUGCAGGCAGGCCUUGUACAUUUUUGCCAAGCACCAUUGCCGGCAAUGGUUUGAAACUAUUUUACCCCAUAUAUCAGUCAACUGGGUUUAUGUAGCGUAAGUGGUAGUAAUUAGAGAAGCACCAUGGUUACAGUCUCAUGUCGACAUUAAGAUAUGAAAAUAGAGAUGUGAACUCUUCUGCUAAGCGUACCCAUAGUCUUGUAAUUGUCGUAGAUAUGAGGAAUAAUUUUGUAAAACAGAGGGAGGAAAGAAUAUUAUACGCGAAAUUAGUGUCUAGAUGGAUCAAGAAGGCUGGUAGGGGGAAUCUGAGCCAGCGAGGUCUUCUGGUGACAUUCUGAUUUGGUCGUGACCACUUCAUCUCAUCCCUCCAUUGAUGAGAGACCUUGAUGAGAGAGUGUGUGUGUGUGUGUGUGUGUGUGUGUGUGUGUGUGUGUGUGUGUGUGUGUGUGAGAGAGAGAGAGAGAGAGAGAGAGAGAGAGAGAGAGAGAGAGAGAGAGAGUGUGCCUGUGAGUGUAAGUGUGUUUGUGUGUGCAUUUGUGUGUACGCAUGUGAGAGAGGAAGUCUGUGUGUGUGUGUGUGUGUGUGUGUGUGUGUGUGUGUGUGUGUGUGUGUGUGUGUGUGAUGUGGUGUUGGAGUGUGAACUGAGUGUGUGUGUGUGUGUAUAAAAGCCCCUACAACAGCGCUGUGAGCUGCAGCACUCUCAGGGCAGAGCAGAGCAGAGCAUAAAUGUUGGAGGGUGUGGAGAACACAGGCCCAGCAUCUGUCACAUUCCAUCAUUAGUCAUUGGAAUGAUAAGCCUUCAAACCAACUAACUUUUAUGUAUGUUUCAAAACACGCGCACUGGCGCACACAACACACUCACAGAGUCCAAACACACACACACACACACACACACACACAAACACCGCCACCAUGUUCACCCUAAAUAUUUACCACUCAUCAACCCAAGCAAUCGGUUUUUAGCAGAGAUGUUUUACCCCAUCGCCUCAUAGGAAGUGUGUCUCCUGCGGGGAUGGUUGAUGGAUGAGAGGGAGAGAGAGAGACAGAGAGAGAGAGAGGCUAUGUUCUCGCCAUGCGGUCGGAAAGCUGUUCCUCAUCUUGGGAGUGUUGUCAUCCAUAAAUUAUUAAUCACAAUUCAGAGAGAGUUGUACACAUUUAUUAUUCAUCAGAGAGAGAGUGAAGAAAAAAAGAUCAGCGCUGGCAUUGGGUCUUCUCCCCAUGUUAGGAAUAGUGGGCUUUUACUCCCCGCGUGUGUGAGCGUGUGUGAGCGUGUGUGAGCGCGUGUGUCUGGAAGAUAAGUGUGCCUGGCAGCCUCAGCAGCUCUUCAGAGAGCCCCACCAAUCAGCAAAUGAGCAACAGCAGCCUCACCGUAUGGCACAUCCUGCGGAAGAAACUCUCUCAGGUGUUCUCUCUCUCUCUCUCCUGGCUGCUUUCUUCCUCUCCAAACAAAACCAGUGUACCAAUAUUUACC